GGCUCCCGGCGGCCAUCUUGUGUCGGCUGAGGGGAGGCUGGCACAGGCCGACAGGACAGAUCUGCAGAGCCGGGAGCUGUGGCAAUGUUUGACUGGGUGGACAUUGCUAGCAGCGGGUUGGCAUCUAUGUCCCCAGUUGGAACAGGUCUGGAGACAGUGAAGCAGCAAACUGAGGAACUUAAGGCUAAUGCCUCCACGGUGCUGACUGGGAGCUGACUGGGGACAAACCGCAGAACUAGCGGAAACUGGCAGAUGUAAGCAGAAUGAAGAAGAAAAGGACCAAGGAAACAAUUCCAAGAGAAAGAGGUAACAUCAGAAAAAAGGCCAGCCCGGUUACCAAGAAAACCAGUAAAAAAGCAAGAGACCACCAACAAGGAUUAAGUGGUUGCAGUUGGGGAUCAGAUGAUGGGUGGUACGUCCUGGGAAACCUGACUGUAAGGGUACAACUAGGGGGUGAGAUCUGCAGUAGGCGUCCCUCGUUGGAGGCACCCAUCUCGACCUUCUCUGCCCUGUUGAGGUGGCACCUGCAAAAUUCCUACCAUGAUCUAGAUGGCAGCUGUGUGCACUCCUGAAACAACGAACCAGGGGCCUGCUUCCACUCUAUCACCUCCUCAUGCACCGAGCCCAUAAAGAGCAGCUGGAGAAGCGGCUGCAUACUUCUUCUAGCUGCAAGGCCACCACUGACAUCACAAGCACCUGCAAAAGCCAGGCGUUCAUCCAUACCCAAACAGCUACUUAGCCACCAGGGACAUCAGGAGCAGCUGUACAAGCCAGGUCCUGCUCCUGCCCCACCACCUUCUCAUCCACCUGUGGCAUCACAGGCACCUGCACAGGCCAGGAGUUCGCACACGCCGUGUCAACUACUCAGGCACUUGUGACACCGUAAGCAGCUGCACAUGGAACGUUCUUGCUCCAGCUUUGUCACCUACUCAGGCACAUGAACAAGCCAAGUGCCUCCUUCUACCCCAUCACCUGCUCAUCCACCUAUGACACUGCAAACAGCUGCACAAGCCAGAAGCCUGCUCCGGCCCUGUAACAGCUCAAAUCCAUAUGACAUCCCAUGAACCUACACAAGCCAGGAGCCUGCUCCUGCCCUAAUGCCUACUCACCCACCCAUGGCAUCACAGGCACCUGCACAGCAGGAGCAUCCUCACUGCCAACACCCUGGCUUUUCCGCCUUCAUCUGUCUCCCAUUCCCAUCUCCACAUGCUCUCCUUUCUCCCAGGCACCUUUCUCACCCACUCCACAACCUCCCAGUGCCUCUGUCUGUCUUUGUCUUUCUGAGGCAGAUGCUACCUCAGAAGCAUUGUCCCAGCGAGGUCACCUGAUUGACUUCCUCCCUCAGCUGUUGUUGUGACUGUUCCAGCAGUCCCAGUGCUUUUUGACCUCAUGGGCCCUCUCGUCCCGCCUCCCUUCUGCAGUUCAAUCCUUUUCCUGUGACAACCAGUCGGUGCCCGCUCUGUGGGCAUCUUACCUACAUCUUC